rnacentral:rRNA from 1 species
GAUGAACGCUGGCGGCGUGCCUAACACAUGCAAGUCGAACGGAGUCCAGCCGUUAAGACCUUCGGGUCAAGGAGGGGAAGACUGAGUGGCGGACGGGUGAGUAACACGUGGGCAACCUGGCUCAUAGAGGGGGAUAACAGAGAGAAAUCUCUGCUAAUACCGCAUAAGCACACACUGCCGCAUGGCGGAGGGUGAAGAGAGAAUCGCGAUGGGAUGGACGCGUGUCUGAUUAGCCAGGUGGCAGGGUAAGAGCGUACCAAAGCGACGAUCAGUAGCCGAACUGAGAGGAUGCACGGCCACAUUGGAAGUGAGACACGGCCCACAAUCCUACGGGAGGGAGCAGUGGGGGAUAUUACACAAGGGGGGGGACUCUGAUGCAGCGACGGCGGGUGAGUGAAGAAGUGUUUCGGUAAGUAAAGCUCUAUCAGCAGGGAAGUUAAUGACGGUACCUGAAGAAGAAGCCCCGGCUAACUACGUG